AGCGAACGCUGGCGGCAGGCCUAACACAUGCAAGUCGAACGAGACCUUCGGGUCUAGUGGCGCACGGGUGCGUAACGCGUGGGAAUCUGCCCUUGGGUUCGGAAUAACAGUUAGAAAUGACUGCUAAUACCGGAUGAUGUCUUCGGACUAAAGAUUUAUCGCCCAAGGAUGAGCCCGCGUAGGAUUAGCUAGUUGGUAGGGUAAAGGCCUACCAAGGCGACGAUCCUUAGCUGGUCUGAGAGGAUGAUCAGCCACACUGGGACUGAGACACGGCCCAGACUCCUACGGGAGGCAGCAGUGGGGAAUAUUGGACAAUGGGCGAAAGCCUGAUCCAGCAAUGCCGCGUGAGUGAUGAAGGCCCUAGGGUUGUAAAGCUCUUUUACCCGGGAUGAUAAUGACAGUACCGGGAGAAUAAGCCCCGGCUAACUCCGUGCCAGCCGCCGCGGUAACAC
rnacentral:rRNA from 1 species